rnacentral:rRNA from 1 species
GUGCCAGCCGCCGCGGUAACACGUAGGAGCCAAGCGUUAUCCGAAUUCACUGGGCGUAAAGCGCGUGUAGGCGGUUAUAUAAGUUGGAUGUGAAAGCUCCUGGCUCAACUGGGAGAGGGCGUUCAAUACUGUAUAACUAGAGGACGGCAGAGGGAGGUGGAAUUCCCGGUGUAGUGGUGAAAUGCGUAGAUAUCGGGAGGAACACCAGUGGCGAAAGCGGCCUUCUGGGCCGUACCUGACGCUCAGACGCGAAAGCUAGGGGAGCGAACGGGAUUAGAAACCCCGGUAGUCCUAGCCGUAAACGAUGUAGACUUGGUGUGGGUGGUGUAAAAGCCAUCUGUGCCGAAGCAAACGCGAUAAGUCUACCGCCUGGGGACUACGGCCGCAAGGUUAAA